GGCUCAGAAUGAACGCUGGCGGCAUGCCUAACACAUGCAAGUCGAACGAAGCCUUCGGGCUUAGUGGCGCACGGGUGCGUAACGCGUGGGAAUCUACCCUUCGGUUCGGAAUAACAGCGAGAAAUUGCUGCUAAUACCGGAUGAUGACGUAAGUCCAAAGAUUUAUCGCCGAGGGAUGAGCCCGCGUAGGAUUAGCUAGUUGGUGUGGUAAAGGCGCACCAAGGCGACGAUCCUUAGCUGGUCUGAGAGGAUGAUCAGCCACACUGGGACUGAGACACGGCCCAGACUCCUACGGGAGGCAGCAGUGGGGAAUAUUGGACAAUGGGCGAAAGCCUGAUCCAGCAAUGCCGCGUGAGUGAUGAAGGCCUUAGGGUUGUAAAGCUCUUUUACCCGGGAUGAUAAUGACA
rnacentral:rRNA from 1 species